CGGGUGAGUAAUGUCUGGGAAACUGCCCGAUGGAGGGGGAUAACUACUGGAAACGGUAGCUAAUACCGCAUAACGUCGCAAGACCAAAGAGGGGGACCUUAGGGCCUCUUGCCAUCGGAUGUGCCCAGAUGGGAUUAGCUAGUAGGUGGGGUAAUGGCUCACCUAGGCGACGAUCCCUAGCUGGUCUGAGAGGAUGACCAGCCACACUGGAGCUGAGACACGGUCCAG
rnacentral:rRNA from 1 species